AUAUGUAUAUGUAUGUACGCCACCCCCUAAAAUGUGUCUGCCACCCCUUUGCCACCCUAUUAAUUUUUCUCUAGAUCUGCCCCUGAUCAACAUGUAUUUUUACUUUCCAUAAACUUGAAACAACUGUAUGAUGAUAGUAUAAGAGAAAUAGAAAUCAAAAGCUCCAUUUCAUUGCCAGUUAUAAUUUCUACGUAAGUUUUCAAUUUUUGAUUUGUUCACCCUUGGAAAGUUAAAAAAAAACAUAGGAGUGUGCUGUCCUUGUGCAAUAACAUCCUGCAAUGCAGUGCUUAAGGAAGUACUGCUCAAAGUUUAUGGUUGAGGAUGGUGGUUAAACAAUUUCUUAGAAAACUAAACAUUAUAAAUCUUUGCAAAAAUAUCUUAUUUUUUGAGUAAUAUGGUGGCAACAGUGAUCUAAAUAAAUUAUUAAGUUGGAGUCCACUUAUGAUCAUUAUUAGAACUUUAAAUAUCUGGCCCUCAAACAGAUACAGUAUAGCUUGUCACUGAAUUCGGUCAUUGAAUAUAAAAUUUGGCAUUGAAAAAGAAAAAAAUGUCUCUAAAAAAGUUGCACUGAAAAAUAAAACACAGAUAUUCAAAAUUAUGUCUGUUUUUAUGGGGGGUGCAGGGGCGGGUAUUUUAAUGUGAUUUUCCCUUACAAUAUUCAGAUUUUUCUUCUUUUUUUGAAGUCAUUUUUUUAGGUCAAACUUUAUUUUUUUUAACAGUGUUUUAAUGUUCUGUUUUCCGUGACAGCUUUCUGUCUCACACAGUAGCUCACAGUAGCCCGCCAAGAGCAGCCAUCCUGGCAAGACUUGAAAUUUGUCGCAGGUGCUGUCGGGUCUAUCGUGGAUUAACAGGGAUCUAUUUUCUUCGGGGGACAGCUGAAGAAACCCAGGUCCUCACUUACUGCUGGGAGACAGACGGAACAUCAGCAGCUCCAUCUCCUGCAGCAGCAUCUGUACCAGCAUGAUGGUAUCAAUGAAAACUGAAGGCUGAUCAGCUCCACUAAAGAACAUCAGGAGAAGAGGCACAAUGUUUUUCAGCUGUGCAUAUGUUUUGUAAAAGACUUUAAUCCUGUUAUAAAAUGAAAUUUCUUAAAUUCAAUUAAAUAAUUAAAUAUCUUUUCAACUGUGUUCCAAAUAUGAAUUGAAGAAGCAUGAAUUAAAUUUUCUUUUUCUAAUGCUUGACAGGCAGUUAAAGAGCUCGCCUGUAAGAGCUCACUUGUCUUUUGGUUCUGAGUAAAGCAGAUGACAUGAAAUAUUCUGCAUACAUUAAUGACAAUAUAUUGCAUGGCUCAGGUUAGGUCCAGGUAAUUACAUUAAUAUAGAGUUAUUUUUUUUGCACAGACUACAAACCUGGAUGUUUGAGGACAAGCAGCAGUUCUGUAUGUAGAACAUAGGGUAAUCUAUUUUAGUAAUGUUAAUAAUAAAACUAUAAACUCAUCCAUCCCUGAAGAGUAGUGGAGAGAGGACACAGCUCUGAGGAGAACCAGUGGAGGUGUGUUGUAGAUCAGAGAAGGUGUUAUUGACCCGUACCCUCUGAUCUGUGGUUUAAAAAUUCCAAUAACCACAGGAUGAGCUGAUCAUCCAGGUGGAAGCGGGAGGAGAGUUUGUGAGGCUGGAGGGUGUUAAAUGCCUAGGAGAAGUUGGCAAACAGGAGUCUUGCUGAAGUGUUCAGGUAUUCCAGGUGACUGUGUAAAGUGUCCAGAAUGAAUAUUUUGGCAUCAACACCUCUGCUCGAACGAUAUACAAAUUGGUGAGGGCCAGUCUGUGAGUUACUUACUCCGAUGACAUGUUGUUUCACAAUUCUCUCCACUGCCUUCAUUACGAGGGAGGUGAGAGCCACAGGUCUGAAGUCAUUGAGUACUUUGGUUGUACUCUUCUUGGGGUUGGGGAUGACUGGAAUGUUUACACAACUGAGGAACUGUACAGCUGUCAAGGGCAGUGAGUGGGCAUGUUGACCCUCCAUUGCUAUUUGUGCACAUGUACCUACGUCUCUGUGUGGGAGGUUUCUGGGAUACCAGCUGUGCUCUGUGGCUGUUCACCCUCUUAUCCUUUGCGAUCGUAUGCAGGACAAAAACUAUAUAGAAGAUCGAUGGGGUGGAGACUAGCACAAUUUGGAAGACCCAGAAGCACAGAUGUGAAACAGGAGCAAAGGAAUCAUAACAGAUGUUGUUGCAUCCAGGCUGCUGGGUGUUACAAGUGAACUUGGACUGCUCAUCGGUAUAUCACCCACCAAGGCCACUAGCAGAAUACAGAAAAUGAGAAGCGACUAAGUAUGGACCAGUCCCCAUGGCACAAGUUUAGACAGAAGGUAAAAGUUGUUAAUAACAGGAUAAGUUAGAUGUAGAGGUUUCUGUGGAUAGGUGGUGUACACAGAAAGAAUUUCAUUAUGAAAUAAUCUGAGCAAAAUCUUCAUUCCCUCUUAAUUUGUGCAUACUGGUUAAUCAAGCCAUGAGGCAGACAGGGCUCCAAAACGUGCUUUUGUUACAGUUACAACACAUCAAACAAAAAACAUACUGUGUGCACUUUUCAUCUCCACAGUUAAUUUCUUCACAAUAUGACAUGCAUUUACUAUUACUUGGUCCAAUGAUGCAUUGACUUUGUUUCUGUGACCAAAGUGGAUUACACUCAAUUUGCAAAUUAUGUGCAACCAAUCAUCAAUGUUUUGUGUUUUCAGUAAUCUAGCACUAACAACAAAUUAAUGUUCAGUUUCAUUUAGUAAACCUCAAUUUUAGUUAGUUAUUUUCUUCUGUCAAAUGUAGCUUAGAGCUUUCUCAAAUCGACAACACAGAAGAUGAAACUGAGUUUUCAUAGGUACCGGUUUCUGAUUACAUAGAAGGCAGCUAUCAGAAAGGAAAGACAUGUUGGUAUGUGUUGGUUUAAUCAAAGGGAGCGGUGGACACAGAGUAAGACAGAGUGAGAACUGAAUGAACUUACUGCCUAUGAGACAUACAAUAUUGGAACUAUUAGACAUGUAGGAAUGUUUAAAUGAAUUUGUUGUUUUGCGGCUGUUGAUGUUUUUUGUUUGUUUUUGCUGUUGCAUAAUCGCGUUUUUGAAUUGUGCAAUGAAUGCAAUGAAAGAACAGUAAAUGAAUUGCCAUAUUGUCCUCUGUGCAGUGUCUGUGUCUUCACAGUGACCCGGCAAGCUGUUGCAACAUUUCACUUCCUGAGGUGUGAAGAUUCGUUCUUGAUCUAAAUAAUGUUGGCUCUGCAAUAUAACUCAACUCAAGGAUCUCAAACUAGUUUUUUUCUAAAGCUUUCAAUGUCUGCUUUAUCAGACAUCAGUCAUCAGUGAGUAGAAUUUGCUUAAAUGUUUUGUUUUUUUUUUAAUUUCUUUUUCAUAUUUUAAUCAUGUCUUAACUGUGUAAAUUCAUAACUGUGUUUUGUGUUUGCUGCUGCCUAUCUUGGCCAGGACUCCCUUGAAAAAGAGGUUUUUAAUCCAACAGGAUCUCUCCUGGUUAAAUAAAGGUUAAAUUUAAAAAAAAAAUGUCAAGAUGUGGGUUAUGUUGUUAUCGUGUAACUUAAGUAAAAAAUUUAGGUUGACCAACUAAGAGUCAGCAGGCUGCUGGAGAGAGGUAGAGGACAACAUUCACAUCUGACACUAUCUUUAAACAGGGGGUACUAUCUCCAUCCAUAAAUGACCACCUGUUGUUACCUGACUGAAGUAUCACACUUGUACUUAUACCCUAGUCAUGUGAUGACACCUGAGCCAGCACCAUGUCAACAGAGGAGAGAACACAAUUAUCUGAUGACAGUGGGAUGUGUUUAAAAGCUCUGAUAAAGUAAAGUGAACGAACCUUGGGUUAAGAUAAUUUGGUCAAACAAUUUGAAAAGGCUAAUCCUUGUUCCCUCCCUCCCACUGUAAUAGAAAUACUAAAAAAUAUGUACCAAGUAAACACAUUUCUUAUUAAACUGUUGAUGACAUACUUUUACACCUGUAUCUCAGUUACAUCACGUUUUUGAAACAUCCCUGUUAUGUGUUGUUAAACAACAUAUCCUGCUUAUUAUAACAGCUUUGACAAGCUAGCAGGUGCAUUCUGAUAGAUACUAAGGUACUAUGGACUGUCAGCACCUUAUCCAGAUUAUCGAUCAUUGUAUGCCGGCUGUGUACACUGACUCUACCCGAUAGAUCUGACCAUCGGCGGUGUGAGCUGAACAUUGAUGUUUGGCACUGGUCAUAAAAGAAAUUGCAUUGUUGCUUCUGUUUUCUGUUAUUUAUCAGCUAGAUACGAAAUCAAACAUUUUUUUUUGUUUGUUUUGUUUUAAUUAUUGUGGAUUGUGUUGGAAUUCAUUAGUUAUUGAUUAGACAGAGUAAGAGGCAGGGUUACCUUCACUUUGCUGGGAAUUAAUCCCUGUAAGAAAAUGUAAUAUUAUAUUUAUAUAUUUCUGUAUGCUUUUUAGAGCUUAAAAGUAUCAGAUUUUACAGUAAUUGAUUUUGUUUUAAUUAUAAUGAUAUCUGCUUUAGACAAUAUUUCAUACAUAGAAAAUUAAAUCAUGAGAUCCCAUAAUAUCAGAAAAAUUACAGCAGACAUGUUUUAAAUAAGCACUGAUACCGUUUGCAGGUGGGUCAAUAUAUAAUUGGGGACUUUUUCUAACAUAGUUGACAUUUUUGCUGUUUUCAGACCUAAAAAUCAACAUGGCCGCCUAUAACCAAACACCACAUGGCAUUUUUUUUAGAAAGAUUCUUCUAAAAUAUUAUAUAUACAAUUGAAUAAAAUUGAAAUUGAAAGUUAUUUGUAAAGAUAUUGCAGUAACAUCUGUUGAAAUGUGAUAAAUCCACACUUGGCUCACACAAUGCUUUAUAUUAAAUAACUCAGAAAGCCUUGCAUUCUUGCCAGUCUUUUCUUCAGGAGAUAAUGACAUCAUGUGGAGCAGGUCAUGUGAUCUGGAAUUAACACACUUCCUUGAGAGGUGUUUUUGUAAUGGGUAGCUUAGCUGAAAGUGAUUUGUCGGACACAGAUACUAUUUGUUAUUUUCCAUAUAAAAUGUGAUUUAUUGCCAAAAAAGAAAUAUCUGUCAUGAUUAUCUCAACUUUAUAAAAAGAACACAAUCAAAACAAUUGUUGAAUAAGCUCAUUUUAUUAUUGUUUAGCUAAUUAGAAGGUGGUUGUUAUUAAAUUUGGACAGUUAUUUAGUUGACAUUUUAGUGGUAUCCAGUCAUUUUAAUUAAUAAAAAUGAAUUGUUUCCAUAGUUAAUUAAUAAAAUUUUUUUUUACUUUUAAUAAAAAUGUAUGCAAGAUAUAUCCCAUGGACUUCAACAGUUCCUCAAUUAUAUAUUGACCCAGGUAUAAAUGUGUGUGAAUUUGUUCAUUAUUUUCAGUCCUAAUUCUUCUCAGACACAGUAAGACAAACUACUUGGUAUUUUAUAAAAUAGAAUUUUGCAUAGGCCAAAAAAAAAGAAAAGAAUAGGAACAGAAUGCAAUUUUAACUCACCUCAAUGUAACCUUGACCUUUGCAGGAAAAAAUCCUUUCUCAUGCAGUGUGCAUAGCUAUUUUUAACCUAAUGCACUGAUAAAAUGAAUCCUGCUGUGUGUCCUAUGGGAGAAUAGGCUGACUACACACAUUGAGCUAUACAUAUCUGAAACUGACAUUGUACUCUGUCACCACAAAAGCUGGCAAUGUACAGUGCAACAAAGAUUUCAAAACACAUCAAGGAUUCCUUUUCUGAACACCCGAGAACAGACAAACAAAAAGCAUAUGGAAAAAGCUGGUAAGGGGAAACAAUGCAGGUUCAUGCAAAGGUUCUCUAUGUAGUCACCUUGUAAAGUACAAGUUAAAAAGGAAUAAAUCAUUCCACAUUUUGUUAAUUUUGCAUGCCAUGCUUCCAAUAUUUUCAAAGUAUAGCACAGCACAAUGACAGGUCUCUGUUGGUGCUAUUACUGUUCUCAGUUUAAUCAACACACAGUGGCUGAGCAGAAGGAAAAAUGCUUUCAUUUUUGUUAUUUGAGUAUUGGUUUAAUAACACAGAGUCAGUCCUCUGGACCUAGUCAUUGAUGGUGGUAAACAGGUUGCAGAAAUGUUGCAUCCAGGAAUUCCGGUCACUGACACUAAAAGCAGCACCCUCCCAACUGAAUUACAAACUAAUCUGGCAAACCAAUGUACAAAUGUAGAAGCAGUGCACCACUGACAAACUAUGCAGUUUGCUCUGCUGGAUUGUAAUUCAGUCAUCGCUGUAUGCAGAUUUAGAGUAAAGCUGGAUUAGAUUCAACAAGUUAGGACAAAAUUAAACAACACUGGUCAGCCAGAUGUGGACAAUCAUAGUUUAACAGCACGAAACUUCUUAUUAAUGAUCUUUCAUUAUAUUUAUUGAAGGACUGAACAAACCGCUUACUGGAUUUUUUAACCCUUUGAGGCACAACAUGGGUCAAAUGUGACCCAAAUCCAAAGGAAAAUGGGUAUCUCCUGACCCACACCGUGCAUCAAAGGGUUAAAGACAUGAUUAACAGUUGUUUCCUCUCAUGGCCUCUCUGGCUUUGUUUGCAGUGACAGUGUUUUUUGAUAGUUACAUAGAUCAUCAUUAUGUCACCUAUUAUCUCUGAUAAGCUAAGAGAGCCUAGUUACAUGGAACUUGCUUCCUAGUACACCCCUCACCUUUUGAUUUUACAGAGUAGACAAGAUGGUACCAAACCUUACUGUGAUAACACCUCAGGAAACCACACACAAUCACUGCAUUCAACAUGUAGGUUUUUGUACAUGUUCCUAUGUGUUACAUAUGCCUGUUGUGGUGGCCUAGUAUGUGUUAUUGUGUUGUUCUGAAGUCAAUAUUAAUCCAUGUCUUUGCAAAAGAAAUUUGAUGGCUUGUGAUUCCACUCAACAUAACCACUGUGAUUUGUUCUGUACAUCCAUGCAAAUUUUAGGCUUCUCUCUUAAACUUCAUCUAUUGGAAUUCAAUAAAUCUCCAAAAACUCAGUUUCCUGUUUAUCAAAAUGACAUGAAAAGAUGAUUUUUCCAUCCAAAUAAUCCCUUUGUGGCUUAACUUUACACCCUUGCCUCCUUUAGCAUGUACAGAUCUAGUAUCCUGCCUCUUCUCCAUCCAUACACCAUUUUAUCCUCUGUAGGGUUGUAGGCAGACUGGAGUCUAUCCCAGAUGAAUUAGGUUGAAGGCAGGGGACACCCUGGACAGGUCACCAGUCUAUCACAGAACUACACAGAGAGACAAAUAAGCACACUCAUAUUGACACCCACAGACAAUUUAGAGUUACCAAUUGACCUCAGCAUGUUUUUGGACUUGUGGGAGGAAGCCAGAGAAACCAAUGAAUACAGGGAGGACAAGCAAACUCUAUACAGAAAGGCCUAGAUUUGAACCCAGAAUUAUUAGAUUAUUAGACUAGUGUUCAGGAAUAGUCACAUCACUUAUUAGAGCUGCAACUAAGAAAUAUUUUAAAUGUGGAUUCAUCUGCUGAUCAUUUUCUUAAAUAAUUGAUUAGUUGCUGUAUAAAAUGUUAGAAAAUGGUGAAAAAUGUCUAUCACUUUUUCCCAAACCAGAAUAUCUUGUUUUGUCAAUAACCCAAAGAUAAUCAAUUAACUUUCACAAAGGAGUAAAGAAAUGCUUGAAAUCAGUCCAAGUUGGCCUUUUUCUCAAAAAACACUUCAAUCUAAUAAUCAUUUGUCAAAAUAGUUGGUGAUUAAUUAAAUAACUGAUUAAUUAAUAUUACAUCUAUUCCUUGUCUUGAUCCAUGAUCUAUACACCUUAAUCCUAAUUAGGGUCAUGGGAGGCUGGAGUCUAUCCCAGCUGACUGAGGGGGAAGUCAGGGGACACCCUGGACAGAUCACUAGUCUAUCACAGGGCUAUAUAUAGAGACAAACAAUCACAUUCGCUUUCACACCUAAAGAAAAUUUAUACACUGCCCAUCCAAAAAAAGAGUUGCACACUAAUAUUUUGUUGGACCACCUUUCCUCUCUCUCCUCCAGGUGUGUGCUGCAGAGGCUGGUGGCAGGUAUGUUGCAUCAGGUAAUCAGUGGACCAUGUGCAGGUGGAAGCCAGCUAGUCAGUCACUCCGGCUCUCCCAUAAAACCCGAUGCCACUGGUCGUAUGAUGCUGGACUGUCUUUGAUCUUCCAGUUAGUUCUGUGAGCUGAACGUUCUGUGCCACUUACCUAGUUCUUUCAGUGAUUCUGCUUUCCUUGUGUUUAGAGCUAACUUCUGCCUGCUUGUGGUUACCUGAUCCUCUGGGUUCCUUCGUCGGCUGCCUGGCUCACCGUUCCUCUGUGGAUUCCAUUCUGCCUGAAGGAUUCUCCUGUCGUCAGUUCUCCUCUGGAAAAGAAUACCUACCGUGCCACCGGAAAAAGCCUUGCCUUGUCGGACGUCUAUCCACCAGCCUUCCCCAGACGCCUUGCCCCACCACUGCAGUGUUCACACACUGGAGACCAAAGACUGGGUCGUUUGGACUGGAGAGAGCCUAAUCCCCCUCAUUGGACAUUCCCCUCUCUGAGUCAGUUAAGUUCUCUAGCCCUAGCAACAUCAGACUUAUCGUUGUCUAAAUUCCAAUUUAUGUGUAUUUCGUAAAUUGGCUUUUUCAUAUUUUAGAGCUUACGACGUUUUACCUCAGUUAUUUAUAUCUGAGGUAGAAUAGCUUAUUGGUCUGGGCUUUCUGUACAGAAUUCCUGUUAGACUAGGUUUUAGUUAGUUUUGUAUUUUCUCCCCAUUUAAUUGUUUUCCUGCCCUGGUUUUACUAGAAGUGGGUUAACUGUAGUUACUGUUGUUUCAGUUCAUGUAAUUAGUCCUCCUAACCACUAGAGGUUUUCCGAUCAACUCCGCCUUAAGCGGGUUAGGUAGUACUUCCAUUUCAGAUUUGUAGUCCUUGUAUUUUUCCUUGUGUUGUAAAUAAAUGCAUUACUAAACUGUU